AUACCGAGGCUGCCGAUCGAGCGAGCUUGCUCGCGAAGUGAUUGAACGAGGUUCCAGGAAAAGCCACUAAGCUUCAGCUACACACGACCGUACCGCAAACCGACACUGGUGCGCGAGAUGAGUAUUCUAAGGCGCUUGAGAGAACUCGGGAGAAGGAACUCGGCAAAUUGACACCGUAACUUCGGAAGAAGGUGUGCCCUAUUAGUGUGAAGUGAACAACGGAGCAUGAAUGGGUUGCAAAAAAUCGGUGGCUGCGACUGUUUAUUAAAAACACAGCACUCUGCAAACACGAAAGUGGACGUAUAGGGUGUGACGCCUGCCCGGUGCUGGAAGAUUAAAUGAUGGGGUGCAAGCUCUUGAUUGAAGUCCCAGUAAACGGCGGCCGUAACUAUAACGGUCCUAAGGUAGCGAAAUUCCUUGUCGGGUAAGUUCCGACCUGCACGAAUGGCGUAACGAUGGCCACACUGUCUCCUCCCGAGACUCAGCGAAGUUGAAAUGUUUGUGAUGAUGCAAUCUCCCCGCGGAAAGACGGAAAGACCCCAUGAACCUUUACUGUAGCUUUGUAUUGGACUUUGAACAGAUCUGUGUAGGAUAGGUGGGAGGCUUUGAAGCAGGGUCGCUAGAUCUUGUGGAGCCAACGUUGAAAUACCACCCUGGUGUGUUUGAGGUUCUAACCUAGGUCCAUUAUCUGGAUCGGGGACAGUGCAUGGUAGGCAGUUUGACUGGGGCGGUCUCCUCCCAAAGCGUAACGGAGGAGUUCGAAGGUACGCUAGUUACGGUCGGACAUCGUGACGAUAGUGCAAUGGCAUAAGCGUGCUUAACUGCGAGACUGACAAGUCGAGCAGAUGCGAAAGCAGGACAUAGUGAUCCGGUGGUUCUGUAUGGAAGGGCCAUCGCUCAACGGAUAAAAGGUACUCUGGGGAUAACAGGCUGAUACCGCCCAAGAGUUCAUAUCGACGGCGGUGUUUGGCACCUCGAUGUCGGCUCAUCUCAUCCUGGGGCUGUAGCCGGUCCCAAGGGUAUGGCUGUUCGCCAUUUAAAGAGGUACGUGAGCUGGGUUUAAAACGUCGUGAGACAGUUUGGUCCCUAUCUUCCGUGGGCGCUGCAGAUUUGAGAAAGCCUGCUCCUAGUACGAGAGGACCGGAGUGGACGCACCUCUGGUGUAUCGGUUGUCACGCCAGUGGCAUUGCCGAGUAGCUAUGUGCGGAAGAGAUAACCGCUGAAAGCAUCUAAGCGGGAAACUCGUUCCAAGAUGAGAUCUGCCGGGGCCUUGAGCCCCCUAAAGAGUCGUUCAAGACCAGGACGUUGAUAGGUCGGGUGUGGAAGCGCAGUAAUGCGUUAAGCUAACCGAUACUAAUUGCUCGUGCGGCUUGACCCG
rnacentral:rRNA from 1 species